rnacentral:sRNA from 1 species
UUUUUUCAGCUUGUCUUCGGAAGCCAGAAUAUCUGCUGUAGGGAAUGAAUCAAAGCUUGACUACGUUGGAAGAUUUGGAACGUAAUGGUUUUUUUUUUUCUUCUGUAAUUGCUGGUCCUGCUCCUGCUGCUGUCUGAAAUGCCACCUCUGCUCCAAUACAUAAAGCAGCUCCAGCUUGAAGCUAUUGUAGCAGCUCUAUCCCAUUCAUCACUGCUUUUUGUUAAAAAGAAAAGAGCUGCUCCUCUCCGAUCUAAGUCCUCUCUCUAGUAAGAAAUUGCAUAAGUUAAUGAGGAUGGGUCGACAGGCUUUCCAAACCUCCAGCGGUACACUAUGUGCAAUAGCUUUGAAUUGGGAUGUAAACUUGUAGAGACGUCACUUGAAUGCUCUUCCAAGACUGCCAUUAAGUUUGAUUGAAACCACACAAAUCUAGUGGCAUUGGCAAAAAUUUGAGAAAGGCUCUGUGAAUUGAUUUUAGACUUUGGGAAAUAAUGCUAUCAAGCGUUUAUCCAAUGUGCUUUGUUGGAUGACGAGGGUCGAGGAAUGUUUGGCUUACUUGUCUUAAACAAUUUUACUCAUUGGAUGGGAAAAUCCUUUGCUAUUGUUGUUGCGGUCUCAGUUCAACGCAUUUGGCCGAAAAGCAACCAUAUGCAUGAUCUUCAA